GACACUGUAACUCAGUGGUAGAGUGUAAGAUUGCAAUCUGCUAACAGGAGAGUCUAUCUUGAAGUCCCGUGUUCGAACCACGGCAGUGUCU